rnacentral:misc_RNA from 1 species
ACAACUGAUCGUGAUGKCUGAGUUAUUGAUACUUAGGCCAUGAUCCUGGUCACCUUAGGUCGAUCGGUACCUCAAAUUGAGCAUCAAAGAAGGGUUGAGGAAUCAGCUUGGAGAUUGAUAAUUAAUUUCAGUUCCUAAACUUGUCUAGGUCACAUCCCGCAAGGCUCUCUCCUGGGCCAUUAGCUCAGGUGGUUAGAGCGCACCCCUGAUAAGGGUGAGGUCCCUGGUUCAAGUCCAGGAUGGCCCAUUCGGUGUUGGGGGUUUAGCUCAGUUGGUAGAGCGCCUGCUUUGCAAGCAGGAUGUCAGCGGUUCGAGUCCGCUAACCUCCACUGACCGAGCACCUGCUAACCACUAAAAGGAGAUGAAACCCUUUUGUGAUGUGAUUUAGAAUUUUAAGUUUGCUGGAAGACCCUAGCUUCCUAUCAUUCCAGGCCUAAAUAUAUUUAUUUUUAGGCGAGGUUGACAGGACGCUGGGCUCACUGUGAUUUGAAAGAAUCACAGAGAUGUACAGCAGAACCUUGACAACUGCAUAGGUGAGUCUGGAAAGAAUAAAGCAUCUCAUGGAUGCAUUAUUUUUGAAAACCAGCUGAUGUGAUCUACGUAAGUAGAGAGCAGAGUUGAUUAACGAGAAUAAUGUUUGAUUCUUGAGUCAAGAGCCGAGACUCUAUAACGUUCUUUAGAUGUCAUCGAGACAUCAAGAGUUUGAUUGGUAAUUCAAACCAUCUUUAAUGACAAGUAUUCAGGGAAAACCUGAGGAAUUUGAGAUUAAGGUCAGGUGAAUUACUAAGAAUACGUAUUCAACUACGUCAAGCGUUAUAGAGAUUAAUUGGUCAAGCUACAAAGGGCUCACGGUGGAUACCUUGGCACACAGAGGCGAUGAAGGACGUAGUUACCUGCGAUAAGUCUCGGGGAGCUGGAAACACGCUUUGAUCCGGGA